CAUUGAUGAUCAAGAAAUAUUUGUUGAGUGAAUGAAGGAAAUAAAGGAACUAAUCUCACAGCAUUGUUGUGAAGGUCAUAUGAGGAUGCUACAGCUUCAGAAAAAAAAAGAGGAAAAGGAGAGGAAGAUUCAUUUGCAAGGGCACAGCUGGACUACAGAAUUUUUUAAACAUAAUUUGGGUAAGUUAUAGAUCUGUAUUUUUCAGUAUAUAUACAAGGUAUGUGGAUUUCUUGCUUUUGCUGUGCACUAUUUCAGAAAGGGGUGGAGGUGGAUAGCCACACCCAGUAGGGGGAAUCUCUCUUAUUCAGAACCAAGGGAAUUAAGCUGGGAGGAGAAAGAGAGAUACUGACAAACCUCAGAAAAAGGUUCAAAUGGAUCAUGUUUGUCUGAGGGAAAUUAAAAAAAAAACAACAAACACAGACAAAGCAAUAUUAUCCAUACUAUA